AUACGGAGGACGCGAGCGUUAUCCGGAUUCAUUGGGUUUAAAGGGUGCGCAGGCGGAGAUGCAAGCGUGACGUCAAAUUUCGGGGCUCAACCCCGUCUCGCGUCGCGAACUGCGUCCCUUGGUUGCGGGAAGGGGAGGCGGAACUCGUGGUGUAGCGGUGAAAUGCAUAGAUAUCACGAAGAACUCCGAUCGCGAAGGCAGCCUUCCGGCCCGUCAACGACGCUCAUGCUCGAAGGUGCGGGUAUCAAACAGGAUUAGAUACCCUGGUAGUCCGCACAGUAAACGAUGGACACCCGCAGUUUGGCCUGUAUGGCUGAGCCGCCAAGCGAAAGCGUUAAGUGUCCCACCUGGGGAGUACGCCGGCAACGGUGAAACUCAAAUGAAUUGGCGGGG
rnacentral:rRNA from 1 species